GUUAUUCAGAACCAGCAGAUAGUGAAAGGUACCAGUACUCUUAAUAGAAAACCGAAGAGGUGCUGGUACUGUGUACUGGUAGAAGCCGAGUUGGCAAAACCACCACGUCACUCUUCAGUGCAUCUGGGCUAAAACAAACGUCAUACUGCUGAGCUGAUUUAGAGGAAAACCGGCUCCCAUCAGGGGAACUGUACUGGCCAAAACCACUGUCUGUCCUGUGUCAUUUUGCAGCUAUUAAACUUAGAAGACAUAAUAAAAGUUAUUACUGUGAUUCACACAGUGACAAUGAGCAAAUACAGAUAUAAACUGGAAAAACUUU